CUAUUCCAAGAGAGCCAACUCUCAAUCCAAAAUGGCGACGAGAAAACGACGGAAGUCGUAGCAGGGAGCUGGGCAGGGGCUGGAUCAUACAUUCUAUGGGCCGAUUCAUGGAUCCAUGGCCUGGAUGGCCCAAAUUGGUUCCAUAACUUCCAGUACAACAGUGCGAGUUCCUGUCACCACCAGUCUGGAGACUGUCCUAUAGUCCAGGUGGAGAACACACUGUCCGUUCACCUGGCACACAAACUGCCGCACCUAAAGAAAAGUGAUGUGAGCUGCUGCUGCAGGGCUUCCAGGGUCAACAGCCUGCACGUAACAGGGAGCCGUGCCUCUGACAACAAAGCCCCAGCCCAAGGCAUCUCCUAUCACCUGUGAUGGCAGGAGGGAUUGCAUCUCACCACUGAGGUUGAAGCCAGCUGGACAAGAGGUGGACAUCCAGCAGAGUGAAGCUCAAGGGAAUUUAAGCUGCCUCGACGCCCACUGUUCAGAUAGGCGGCGGCGGCGGCGAAAAUUGAUGCAGAACUGAUAGAGCAGUCCACUGUCAAAGAAGCCAUGCUUCUUUGCCACUAGGAGUGGGAGAGAGAGAGAGAGAGCAAUAGUGGAACACGUUUUACAAUUAAUGGGAUUUUUCACAAAGUGUCAAUUGGUGCAUUUGCUUAAGACUGUAAAAGUCCCAGCUGGCCACCCACUGGUAGCAGCCACUGACAGUCAGCUCAUUCCUGGUGCCGUACA